rnacentral:piRNA from 1 species
UUGCUCUUGGAGGAACGGAGGAC